rnacentral:rRNA from 1 species
UACGUAGGGGGCAAGCGUUGUCCGGAAUCAUUGGGCGUAAAGCGAGCGUAGGCGGCCCGAUAAGUCUGCUGUGAAAGUCAACGGCUCAACCGUUGAAAGCCGGUGGAUACUGUCGGGCUAGAGUUCGGAAGAGGCAAGUGGAAUUCCUGGUGUAGCGGUGGAAUGCGCAGAUAUCAGGAGGAACACCCAUAGCGAAGGCAGCUUGCUGGGACGAUACUGACGCUAAGGCUCGAAAGCGUGGGGAGCGAAC